ACUCUAUGGUGGUGAAUUUUAUAAUGGCCAGAAGACGUAUGUGUAUGGUGAUCUCUACCGAUAUGAUGU